CGCUUGGGUUCCCUACCCCAGUGUGGAAGCUUUGUUCUUUUGCUCUUUGCAAUAAAUCUUGCUGCUGCUCACUCUUUGGGUCUGCACUGCCUUUAUGAGCUGUAACACUCACAGCGAAGGUCUGCAUCUUCACUCCUGAGGCCAGUGAGACCACGAACUCACCUGGAGGAAUGAACAACUCCGGACGGGAGGAACAAACAACUCCAGACGCGCCACCUGAAGAGCUGUAACACUCACCACGAAGGUCUGCAGCUUCACUCCUGAAGCCAGCGAGACCAUGAACCCACCAGAAGGAAGAAACUCCAAACACAUCCGAACAUCAGAAGGAACAAACUCCGGACACACCAUCUUUAAGAACUGUAACACUCACCACAAGGGUCCACAGCUUCAUUCUUGAAGUCAAUGAGACCAAGAACCCACCAAUUCCAGAUACAAGGGGAAGGGAAUCCAGAAACCUGACGUGCCAGCAAAAGGGUAAAAGUUUCUUUUACCAGUUGGACUUUUGGCCUCUCCCUCCGUGUGCAAACCGGUAAAAGGAAUGUGCUCCAGUCAUAUAACCAAGUUAGUAGUGUUCUACCUUACCAGAGGAGAACUGAAGAACUUUGAACUGUGAACUUUCCCAAGGAAAGUGCGACAACUGAAACUUAGGAUUGCAACCAGAGGGGCUCCUCUUACCUCUGCAUCAAAGCGCGGAUCCUGGUAGGCAUCACUGAUGUUCACUGGAAGGCCUGUUGAAGCAACCAGCUCAGCAAUGCUGUUAUUUAUUAGCCAGUCGGAGUAUGAUGAUUUCUCCAUGCUUUCUUUGAAACUAUCAGAGCACCAAGGUAGGCAGGAAGAAAAGAGAGAAACUAUAUAUUGAGCACUGCCAGGAGCCGUGGAGAUACAAAAUUGAGAACUGUUCAAAUUAGUAUUGGCAAGGAAAAUUUUCCUGGAGGAUGUCUGAUUUGUCGCUUGGCAAGUGAUAACUGAAAUUAUGUGGAUGGAUGCAAGCAUACUAGGGCAAGGUUUUCAAGCUGCCUUAUGUGGAACCCUGGAUUUCAUGAGAUGUUAAAUGAGUAUACUACAGCAAGAAUAAUCAUCACUCUAUUGACUUUUUAAUCUAAACUGCACUAUAUGUAAGAAAACACUAAAUGUGCACAUCGUCUUUGUUAUUAUGCAAUAAUGUCCCUGUGUAAAAUUAUGCCAUGUUGAGAAGGCAGGAAACUGCAUGGAAAGGCCAUUGGAUGCAUGAGUGAGUGGGACACAUAGACAUUAUUUAACAUCAUUAAUAUAUCUCAUCUGUAAUGAUUGCUGGCCUGUGUCUGAUAAAUUCAGCAUGUAUUUGUAAUGUUAUUCAUCCCUUAUUGCAUAUUAAACAUUAAUAAUACAUAAACUUUAUUCUCUAUGGCUCUCUGGCUGAAAAAUGGAAGUUUUAAUAAAAAGCUGAGUCUUGUAGUUCUUAGAUGGCACCUAAAUCAAAGAAGUAAAA
rnacentral:lncRNA from 10 species